ensembl:lncRNA
CAGAGGAAAGCCUGGGGACAGGGGGAGCACGGGGCCGAAGGGAUCUCGUGGGCCCAAAGGGUUUCAAGGUCAUCUUGGUCAUGCAGGGCGUCAUGGUCAGACUGGAGAACCUGGACUUCCUGGACAAGUGUAUAUCCUACCAGGCAUGGAGGGAGAAACAGGAAACCCAGGUCCUCCAGCCACAUGCAACUGUUCACAGGUUCAGAGCCCACAACGAUUGGUGGACAGCGUGCACACGGUGUUUGUUGCGGAUGGAGAGAAAGCGAUGAGAAGGCUGCGCGUGGAGAAUGUGAUGGUGCUUCGCACGGACAAAAAGGCUCUGUACAUCUACACUGAGUCUCAGUGGAUCAACGUAUUGCAGGAUCCCCGACACUGACGGCAUACUGAAGCUGAACCAGACCUCCAACCUCAGCUGUCCAUUAGCAGCGUCUGACCAGCUCCUCUAACAUUUACAAGCAUUCCCUUGGAUUUGUGUGACCACUCUAAUAUGACCUAUAAAUAUCCUUUUGUGAAAACUCGAGCUGAAAGGAUUUUUUCCACCAAGUUGGUGUUGUGGCCUGAUGAGUGACGGAAGGCUCAUCAGCGUUGUCUAAUUGUCCAUCACAGACUGUUGGUCACUGAACAUCCUCGGGAUCACCCCUGCAGCAGUUCUAACUUUAGUAAUCACCAUCAUUUACAAAGUUUACAUGUUAUAUUUGAUAAGAUCUGACAACUGAAAGCAUAACGUCAUCAGGACUGUGCUGUGUGACUCUCCUGAGGUCACAGAGUAAGGAGGCUCAUUUCCUCACAGACACAAACAGAAGUCACUUAAAAUAAUGUUCCUGUAUCGUUUACCUUUCCAGACCUGGAAGCUAUGCCUGUCUUUUGUCUCAACUGAUGAUUUAUGCAUGCAUCAUUUAAAAGCACUUAAACAAGUCUUCAUCAUAACACACCAAAAGGAAAGUGUUUCUUUCUUGUGAUGCUGCAGUGAUCCACCUCCUACAAAGAGCUC